AUGAUAUGAAAUCAUGAUAUGAUAUCAUAAUAUGGAAUUAUGAGAUGAAAUUGAAGUUUUGUUUGGACAUGCGAUAUGAAAUUUUUGUGUUGUAUAUUUUCUCAUAAAUAUAAGAAUCUCAUAAGUUGUAAAACUAUUAAAAUAGCCCCAAUUGUUUAUUCAAUCUUACCAAAUAAACAAAAAUUUAUAAAAUUGCAUAAUAA
rnacentral:lncRNA from 1 species